GCCAGGGUGGCGGAAUCCGGUAACGCGUACGCCUGGAAAGCGUAUGGCCCUCACGGGCCUCCUGGGUUCAAAUGCUUCUUAGCUGAAUAUCCCAGCCCUGGCG
rnacentral:tRNA from 1 species